UACGUAGGGGGCAAGCGUUGUCCGGAAUCAUUGGGCGUAAAGCGCGCGUAGGCGGCCCGGUAAGUCCGCUGUAAAAGUCCAGGGCUCAACCCUGGAAAGCCGGUGGAUACUGUCGGGCUAGAGUCCGGAAGAGGCGAGUGGAAUUCCUGGUGUAGCGGUGGAAUGCGCAGAUAUCAGGAGGAACACCGAUUGCGAAGGCAGCUCGCUGGGACGUAACUGACGCUGAGACGCGAAAGCGUGGGGAGCAAACAGG
rnacentral:rRNA from 1 species